GAUCAAACCAUACCACUCUCAUUAAGUGUAUAGUGAGCUUAGCUGGAAUUCAAGUCUUUCAGUAUCAAUACGAAGAAAAUCUUCUGCAUCAUAGAAUGUAUCUGAAGUCUUCACUACAAUUAUUUAUUUGCCUCAGCCUAAUACUACAAGACCUCAAAUGAUGAGGUAAAACUUAUUUCCUAGUUUCAGGCUAAAACUCUGGAAAUGCACCAAAUCAUUCUAUGAAAUUAUUGAUGUCCUAAAAUCAUAACUAACUAGUAGUGGAGAACUUGAACAGCAUGUAAUGCUUGUAAGACUUCCCAGGAUUCACAAUCUGUGAAGGGAAAUUAGGGUGAUUCACAGCAUCAGGAUAUCCUUGAGUCUCCAGGCAAAGAGCUGCAUGAGGUUUAUAUACAAAUCCACCUUUGCCCUUCUGGUUCAAAGUGUUGCUUGUAUAGAAUUGGACACCAGGUUGAUUUGAGAACAGCUCUAACACUCUUCCAGACUUCUUAUCCUUUACAAUUGCUACUUUCUUCAUUUUCUUCUUUUCACUGCCAUCAAGGGCAUAAUUGAUAUCAUAGCCAUUAGCUAGUUGCUUGAUCCUGCUUCCAAUGGUGUUGGGUUCAAGGAAAUCGUAUGGUGUUCCUUUCACAGAUUCAAUUUUUCCAGUAGGAAUAAGCUGGCUAUCAACAGGAGUGUAUUGGGAAGCAAAGAUCUGAAUUUCUUCGGACAGAAUAUCACCACUGUUUUGGCCACCCAAGUUCCAGUAGGCAUGUUGGGCUAGAUUCACUGGAGUAGCCUUGUUUAAAGCUUUUGCUUUCAUUGUUAUACUCAACUUGUCUCCAAUCAGUGUGUAUCCCACAGCCACAUGAAGAUUUCCAGGGAAUCCUUCUUCGCCAUCAGGACUGUGAUAGGUAAAGAUAAUGAAAGGGGCAUUGCUUUCUGGCUUAUAUUUUUUAACUUUCCAAACAACUUUGCUGAAUCCUUUAGGGCCACCAUGAAGCAUGUUCUUCCCUUCAUUAGGGACUAGUUUGUAAUGAGUUCCAUUCAAAGUAAAUUGAGCACCAGCAAUUCUAUUAGCAACCCUUCCAACAGUAGCUCCAAAGUACGAUGUGUCAUUCUUGUACUCCUCAGCAGAAUCAUAACCCAGAAGAACAUCUUCCAGCUUUCCAUUUUUGUCUGGAAGAAACAGAGAGAUGAUAUGGGCACCAUAGUUGGUGAGCUUCAUGGAGAUAUUUCCUUUCUUGAGCUCAUAUACUUUAAUCUUUUCCUCUUCCGAGCCAUUGAUGACCGACCCAAAAGCUACAAGAAUGCUAAUGCAAAACAAAACAGAGAAUUUACCCAUCUUUUCCACACACACAACACAGAAUAGAACAAGAAUAGUGAGAGAAUGUGAUGUAAGGAUAAGAAUUGUCUUCUUUAUAAGGUUAUAUAUGGAAUUAAUGAAUGCUGUAUAUGGCUUCUCUCAUCAUAUCAUUAUCAUAUAUAGAUUAGUAAAGCAAGGGAAAUGAGAGAUUUAUGGUCGUGCAUCGAAUUGGAGAGAGAGAGAGAGGAAUGGAAUGGAAAGGUAGUAAUGGGUUAUCCAAAAAUAUUUUCAAGCACAGCAACAACUUCCUUCUUUGAUCUCAUUUUCUGAAUCGGUGAUAGCCCAUUUGUUGACUUUCUAAGAGGGAACAAAUGUG
rnacentral:misc_RNA from 1 species